GUGUCAGCAGCCGCGGUAAGACGUAGGUGGCAAGCGUUAUCCGGAUUCACUGGGCGUAAAGCGCACGCAGGUGGCCUUGCAGGUAGGGCAUGAAAUCUCCCGGCUUAACUGGGAGCAGCUGUCCUAAACCGCUUGGCUGGAGGAUAGGAGAGGGGAGUGGAAUUGCCGGUGUAGUGGUGAAAUGCGUAGAGAUCGGCAGGAACACCAGUGGCGAAAGCGGCUCCCUGGCCUAAUCCUGACACUCAAGUGCGAAAGCUAGGGGAGCGAACGGGAUUAGAAACCCCCGUAGUCC
rnacentral:rRNA from 1 species